rnacentral:rRNA from 2 species
UCUUCGGAGAUACACGAGUGGCGAACGGGUGCGUAACGCGUAUGCAACCUACCUUUAACAGAGAGAUAGCCCUGAGAAAUUGGGAUUAAUAUCACAUAAUAUCAUAAUGCAGCAUUGUAUAAUGAUUAAAGCUCCGGCGGUUAAAGAUGGGCAUGCGUGACAUUAGUUAGUUGGUGAGGUAACGGCUCACCAAGACUUCGAUGUCUAGGGGUUCUGAGAGGAUUAUCCCCCACACUGGUACUGAGACACGGACCAGACUCC